rnacentral:rRNA from 1 species
CCCGCUGAACUUAAGCAUAUCAAUAAGCGGAGGAAAAGAAACCAACAGGGAUUGCCCCAGUAACGGCGAGUGAAGCGGCAAGAGCUCAAAUUUGAAAGCUGGCCCCCUCGGGGUCCGCAUUGUAAUUUGCAGAGGAUGCUUCGGGAGUGGCCCCCAUCUAAGUGCUCUGGAACGGGCCGUCAUAGAGGGUGAGAAUCCCGUAUGGGAUGGGGUGUCCGCGACCAUGUGAAGCUCCUUCAACGAGUCGAGUUGUUUGGGAAUGCAGCUCUAAAUGGGUGGUAAAUUUCAUCUAGAGCUAAAUAUUGGCCGGAGACCGAUAGCGCACAAGUAGAGUGAUCGAAAGAUGAAAAGCACUUUGAAAAGAGAGUUAAAAAGCACGUGAAAUUGUUGAAAGGGAAGCGCUUGCGACCAGACUCGCCUGCGGGGUUCAGCCGGUAUUCGUACCGGUGUACUUCCCCGUGGGCGGGCCAGCGUCGGUUUGGGCGGCCGGUCAAAGGCCCUCGGAAUGUAACGCCUCUCGGGGCGUCUUAUAGCCGAGGGUGCCAUGCGGCCAGCCCGGACCGAGGAACGCGCUUCGGCACGGACGCUGGCAUAAUGGUCGUAAGCGACCCGUCUUGAAACACGG